AUACGUAGGGGGCGAGCGUUGUCCGGAAUGAUUGGGCGUAAAGGGCGCGUAGGCGGCCCGGUAAGUCUGGAGUGAAAGUCCUGCUUUUAAGGUGGGAAUUGCUUUGGAUACUGUCGGGCUUGCGUGCAGGAGAGGUAAGUGGAAUUUCCAGUGUAGCGGUGAAAUGCGUAGAGAUUGGGAGGAACACCAGUGGCGAAGGCGACUUACUGGACUGUAACUGACGCUGAGGCGCGAAAGUGUGGGGAGCAAACAGGAUUAGAUACCCUGGUAGUCCACACUGUAAACGAUGAAUGCUAGGUGUAGGGGGUAUCGACCCCUUCUGUGCCGCAGUUAACACAAUAAGCAUUCCGCCUGGGGAGUACGGCCGCAAGGUUGAAACUCAAAUGAAUUGACGGGG
rnacentral:rRNA from 1 species